rnacentral:rRNA from 1 species
UACGUAGGUCCCGAGCGUUGUCCGGAUUUAUUGGGCGUAAAGCGAGCGCAGGUGGCUUAUUAAGUCUGGUGUAAAAGGCAGUGGCUCAACCAUUGUAUGCAUUGGAAACUGGUAGACUUGAGUGCAGGAGAGGAGAGUGGAAUUCCAUGUGUAGCAGUGAAAUGCGUAGAUAUAUGGAGGAACACCGGUGGCGAAAGCGGCUCUCUGGCCUGUAACUGACACUGAGGCUCGAAAGCGUGGGGAGCAAACAGG